AUUGAACGCUGGCGGCAUGCCUUACACAUGCAAGUCGAACGGCAGCACGGGAGCAAUCCUGGUGGCGAGUGGCGAACGGGUGAGUAAUAUAUCGGAACGUGCCCGGUCGUGGGGAUAACGUAGCGAAAGCUACGCUAAUACCGCAUACGAUCUACGGAUGAAAGCGGGGGAUCGCAAGACCUCGCGCGAUUGGAGCGGCCGAUAUCAGAUUAGGUAGUUGGUGAGGUAAAGGCUCACCAAGCCGACGAUCUGUAGCUGGUCUGAGAGGACGACCAGCCACACUGGGACUGAGACACGGCCCAGACUCCUACGGGAGGCAGCAGUGGGGAAUUUUGGACAAUGGGCGCAAGCCUGAUCCAGCAAUGCCGCGUGCAGGAUGAAGGCCUCGGUUGUAAGUACGUCUUUUACCCGUACGUACUAGAGUAA
rnacentral:rRNA from 1 species